AUGGCCGUCCGGGAUGUCACCGGCGCCUGGCACCUCCAACUCCAAGUCCAUGCUCUGCCUCGCCCUCACUCUGCUCUUCAUGUUGCCUCUACCUGCAAACAUUCCUCUCAACCUUGUGUGCCUGCUUGCCACCAACAUCAACAUGCUUCACCAAGCAGGACCUUUGCUGCUUUCGGUUUACGCCGCAAGGAACCAUGCAGCAGCAUAAAUAAACUCAACACAUGGUUGUCACUUUCUGAAAUGCAAACUCUGGGUUCAGAUUUAUGCAGAUUACUGAGGAAGCUGGUACUAGUUGAUCAAAUGGAAAUAUUAGCUCUUCAAUUUUAG
rnacentral:rRNA from 1 species